CACGUAGGGCGCGAGCGUUGUCCGGAAUUAUUGGGCGUAAAGAGCUCGUAGGCGGCCUGUUGCGUCCGCUGUGAAAGCCCGGGGCUUAACCCCGGGUCGGCAGUGGAUACGGGCAGGCUAGAGGUAGGUAGGGGAGAAUGGAAUUCCCGGUGUAGCGGUGAAAUGCGCAGAUAUCGGGAGGAACACCAAUGGCGAAGGCAGCUUGCUGGGACGGUACUGACGCUGAGACGCGAAAGCGUGGGGAGCAAACAGG
rnacentral:rRNA from 1 species